ACGGAAGGUCCGGGCGUUAUCCGGAUUUAUUGGGUUUAAAGGGAGCGUAGGCCGUUUGGUAAGCGUGUUGUGAAAUGUCGGGGCUCAACCUGGGCAUUGCAGCGCGAACUGCCAGACUUGAGUGCGCAGGAAGUAGGCGGAAUUCGUCGUGUAGCGGUGAAAUGCUUAGAUAUGACGAAGAACUCCGAUUGCGAAGGCAGCCUGCUGUAGCGCAACUGACGCUGAAGCUCGAAAGCGUGGGUAUCGAACAG
rnacentral:rRNA from 1 species